AUGAACGCUGGCGGCGUGCCUAAUACAUGCAAGUCGAGCGAACAGACGAGGAGCUUGCUCCUCUGACGUUAGCGGCGGACGGGUGAGUAACACGUGGAUAACCUACCUAUAAGACUGGGAUAACUUCGGGAAACCGGAGCUAAUACCGGAUAAUAUAUUGAACCGCAUGGUUCAAUAGUGAAAGACGGUUUUGCUGUCACUUAUAGAUGGAUCCGCGCCGCAUUAGCUAGUUGGUAAGGUAACGGCUUACCAAGGCAACGAUGCGUAGCCGACCUGAGAUGGUGAUCGGCCACACUGGAACUGAGACACGGUCCAGACUCCUACGGGAGGCAGCAGUAGGGAAUCUUCCGCAAUGGGCGAAAGCCUGACGGAGCAACGCCGCGUGAGUGAUGAAGGUCUUCGGAUCGUAAAACUCUGUUAUUAGGGAAGAACAAAUGUGUAAGUAACUAUGCACGUCUUGACGGUACCUAAUCAGAAAGCCACGGCUAACUACGUG
rnacentral:rRNA from 1 species